rnacentral:rRNA from 1 species
AGUGAACGCUGGCGGUAGGCCUAACACAUGCAAGUCGAACGGCAGCACAGUAAGAGCUUGCUCUUACGGGUGGCGAGUGGCGGACGGGUGAGGAAUACAUCGGAAUCUACUUUUUCGUGGGGGAUAACGUAGGGAAACUUACGCUAAUACCGCAUACGACCUACGGGUGAAAGCAGGGGAUCUUCGGACCUUGCGCGAUUGAAUGAGCCGAUGUCGGAUUAGCUAGUUGGCGGGGUAAAGGCCCACCAAGGCGACGAUCCGUAGCUGGUCUGAGAGGAUGAUCAGCCACACUGGAACUGAGCCACGGUCCAGACUCCUACGGGAGGCAGCAGUGGGGAUUAUUGGCCAAUGGGCGCAAGCCGGAUCCAGCCAUACCGAGUGGGUGAAGAAGGCCUUCGGGUUGUAAAGCCCUUUUGUGGGGAAAGAAAAGCAGCAGGUUAAUACCCCGCUGUUCUGACGGUACCCAAAGAAUAAGCACCGGCUAACUUCGUG